rnacentral:lncRNA from 1 species
UAUAACAAAUUACCAAUUAGUUCACGCAAUUACACUAUAAUAAUGAUUUAUAAAAUGAAUCAUCAUCAUCAUCAUACAUAUAAUAUCAGAGUGGGGCACACUAUUAGUCUAUUAGUCAAGUGGGGAAAUGCCAUUUUUCUCAAGCAUUCAAAGUAUACCAAUUUUGUGAUUAUUAAUUCAAAGCAAUGUAGUCAAACUCUAUAUCCUACCUAGGAUUGGAAGGGGUUGUAACUUCUAACACAAGGAUCAUAACACAGAUGAUAAGAUGCUAGCGAAGGGCAAAACUAAAUGUGUACACACUCACACAAACACACACAUGAAAACAACAUCAUUAUAUAAGAAGAAAAUAAUCUCUAAAUUAGAACAAUAAACUAUGUCAAUUAAAAAUUCAUAACCAUAGAUACAUAAGAGUACUCACAUAUUUCUUACGACCAUAUCCCUCAUCAUCAUCACCACGCCUCUCAGAACCAUAGCUCGGUUUCUCCUCAUCAUCACUCCUUCCAUAGCUAGUUUUCCUCCCAUAGCUUGGCUUCUCCUCGUCAUCACUCCUUCCAUAGCUAGGUUUCCUCUCAUACUCAGUCCUCCCAUAGCUCGGCUUCUCCUCAUCAUCACUCCUUCCAUAGCUAGGUUUCCUCUCAUAUUCACUCCUCCCAUAGCUUGGCUUCUCCUCCUCAUCACUCCUCCCAUAGCUUGGCUUCUCCUCCUCAUCACUCCGUCCAUAGCUAGUUUUCCUGCCAUAGCUCGGCUUCUCCUCCUCAUCACUCCUUCCAUAGCUAGGCUUCCUCUCAUACUCACUCCUUCCUCCUCCAUACCCUUCUUCCUCCCCAUAACCACUCUUCUUCCUCCCCGAUCCAUACUCCGAUUCACCACUCUCAUACUCAUUCUUCCGCCCAUAACCCUCACUCUCCUCCUCAUUCUUUCUCCCACCAUAACCAGACCCAUAUCCAGAUUCUUGCUUCCUUCCACCAUAACCAGACCCAUAACCACUUUCCUCAUUCUUUCUACCAUAUUCAGACUCCUGGGCCCCACCAUAUCCUGACCCAUAUCCAGAUUCUUGCUUCCUCCCACCAUAACCAGACCCAUAUUCACUUUCCUCAUUCUUUCUCCCAUACCCAGAUCCAUAUUCACCCUCCUGGGCCCCACCACCACCAUACCCAGAUCCAUAUUCACCCUCUUGCUUCCUCCCACCAUACCCAGAUCCAAUUUCAGAUUCUUGACCACCAUACCCAGAUCCUUGUUUCCUCCCAUACCCACCACCACCAUCACCAGAUUCAGGGUGAAAACUAGAAGGUGCAGGUCUAGGUUUCGGUCUCACAUAGCUACUAUACUCAGUAGCAAGAGCUUCAUCACCAUAAGCAGAAGGUUGAG